UACAGGGGGUGCAAACGUUGCUCGGAAUCAUUGGGCGUAAAGCGCACGUAGGCGGUUCGUUAUGUCGGAUGUGAAAGCCCUUGGCUUAACCGAGGAAGUGCAUCCGAAACUGGCGAGCUAGAGUACGAAAGAGGAUCGCGGAAUUCCCGGUGUAGAGGUGAAAUUCGUAGAUAUCGGGAGGAACACCGGUGGCGAAGGCGGCGACCUGGGUCGAUACUGACGCUGAGGUGCGAAAGCGUGGGGAGCAAACAGG
rnacentral:rRNA from 1 species